GUGCUCACGUUGUUUCAUAAUGCUGGAAAAAGGCUAAAUGCUGUAGGGUUGUUGGGUGUGGAUGCAAGCCCCUUACUUUCAUAUUCCGGGACCAACCGUAUGGUGGCAGGUAGCCUAGUGGUUAGAGUGUAGAGGUGGCAGGUAGCCUAGUGGUUAGAGUGUAGAGGUGGCAGGUAGCCUAGUGGUUAGAGUGUAGAGGAGGCAGGUAGCCUAGUGGUUAGAGUGUAGAGGUGGCAGGUAGCCUAGUGGUUAGAGUGUAGAGGUGGCAGGUAGCCUAGUGGUUAGAGUGUAGAGGUGGCAGGUAGCCUAGUGGUUAGAGUGUAGAGGUGGCAGGUAGCCUAGUGGUUAGAGUGUAGAGGUGGCGGGUAGCCUAGUGGUUAGAGUGUAGAGGUGGCAGGUAGCCUAGUGGUUAGAGUGUAGAGGUGGCAGGUAGCCUAGUGGUUAGAGUGUAGAGGUGGCAGGUAGCCUAGUGGUUAGAGUGUAGAGAUGGCAGGUAGCCUAGUGGUUAGAGUGUAGAGGUGGCAGGUAGCCUCGUGGUUAGAGUGUAGAGGUGGCAGGUAGCCUAGUGGUUAGAGUGUAGAGGUGGCAGGUAGCCUAGUGGUUAGAGUGUAGAGGUGGCAGGUAGCCUCGUGGUUAGAGUGUAGAGGUGGCAGGUAGCCUAGUGGUUAGAGUGUAGAGGUGGCAGGUAGCCUAGUGGUUAGAGUGUAGAGGUGGCAGGUAGCCUAGUGGUUAGAGUGUAGAGGUGGCAGGUAGCCUCGUGGUUAGAGUGUAGAGGUGGCAGGUAGCCUAGUGGUUAGAGUGUAGAGGUGGCAGGUAGCCUAGUGGUUAGAGUGUAGAGGAGGCAGGUAGCCUAGUGGUUAGAGUGUAGAGGUGGCAGGUAGCCUAGUGGUUAGAGUGUAGAGGUGGCGGGUAGCCUAGUGGUUAGAGUGUAGAGGCGGCGGGUAGCCUAGUGGUUAGAGUGUAGAGGCGGCGGGUAGCCUAGUGGUUAGAGUGUAGAGGCGGCGGGUAGCCUAGUGGUUAGAGUGUAGAGGCGGCGGGUAGCCUAGUGGUUAGAGUGUAGAGGCGGCGGGUAGCCUAGUGGUUAGAGUGUAGAGGCGGCGGGUAGCCUAGUGGUUAGAGUGUAGAGGCGGCGGGUAGCCUAGUGGUUAGAGUGUAGAGGCGGCGGGUAGCCUAGUGGUUAGAGUGUAGAGGCGGCGGGUAGCCUAGUGGUUAGAGUGUAGAGGCGGCGGGUAGCCUAGUGGUUAGAGUGUAGAGGCGGCGGGUAGCCUAGUGGUUAGAGUGUAGAGGCGGCGGGUAGCCUAGUGGUUAGAGUGUAGAGGCGGCGGGUAGCCUAGUGGUUAGAGUGUAGAGGCGGCGGGUAGCCUAGUGGUUAGAGUGUAGAGGCGGCAGGGUAGCCUAGUGGUUAGAGUGUGGAGGCGGCAGGGUAGCCUAGUGGUUAGAGUGUAG